rnacentral:rRNA from 1 species
UACUCCUGGCCGUAAACGAUGUCAACCAGGCGUUGGGAAACACUAGUUUCUCAGUGCUGCAUCUAACGAGGUAAGUUGACCGCCUGGGGAGUACGGCCGCAAGGCUAAAACUCAAAGGAAUUGGCGGGGACCCGCACAAGCAGCGGAGCGUGUGGUUUAAUUCGAGGCAACGCGAAGAACCUUACCGGGCCUUGACAUAUACGUGGUACUGAUCAGAAAUGUGAUGGACUCUUCGGAGAGCGUAUACAGGUGCUGCAUGGCUGUCGUCAGCUCGUGCCGUGAGGUGUUCGGUUAAGUCCGAUAACGAGCGCAACCCACGUCGUCAGUUACAAGUGUCUGGCGAGACUGCCGGUGAUAAGCCGGAGGAAGGUGUGGAUGACGUCAAGUCAGCAUGGCCUUUAUGGUCCGGGCUACACACACGCUACAAUGGUCGAUACAAUGGGUAGCGAAGCCGCGAGGUGAAGCCAAUCUCUCAAAGUCGAUCUCAGUUCGGAUUGU